rnacentral:rRNA from 1 species
AUUGAACGCUAGCGGGAUGCCUUACACAUGCAAGUCGAACGGAGUGGCGAACGAGUGAGUAAGGAAGCGGAAGGUGCCCAGUAGCGGGGGAUAACUACGCGAAAGCGAAGCUAAUACCGCAUACGAUUGGAGCGGCCGAUAGCGGAUUAGCUAGUUGGAGGGGGAACGGCUCACCAAGUCGACGAUCCGUAGCGGGUUUGAGAGGACGACCAGCCACACUGGGACUGAGACACGGCCCAGACUCCUACGGGAGGCAGCAGUUGGGAAUUUUGGACAAUGGGGGAAACCCUGAUCCAGCCAUCCCGCGUGUGCGAUGAAGGCCUUCGGGUUUUAAAGCACUUUUGGCAGGAAAGCGGUACCUGCAGAAUAAGCACCGGCUAACUACGUGCCAGCAGCCGCGGUAAUAC